CAUACUAAGUGAAGUAAGUCAGAAAGAGAAAGGCAAAUAUAUGAUAUCACUUAUAUGUGGAAUCUAAAAUAUGACACCAAUGAACCUAUCUAUGAAACAGAAACAGAUUCACAGACAUAGAGAACAGACUUGUGGUUGCCAAGGGGGAGUGGGUCGGGGGAAGGAUGCGUGGGAGGUUGGGGUUAGGAGAUGCAAGCUAUUAUAUAUGGAAAGGAUAAACAACAAGGUCCUACUGUAGAGCACAGAGAACUAUUUUCAGUAUCCUAUGAUAAACCAUAAUGGAAAAGAAUAUAUUUUAAAAAAAGAAUGUAUAUAUGUAUAACUGAAUCACUUUACUGCACAGCAGAAAUCAACACAACAUUGUAAAUCAACUAUACUUCAAUUUUUAAAAAAAACUGGUAUAAAAAAAAGAAAGAAAAUGUUGAUGUGUCUUAUAAAACCCAACUGCUUCUGUCCAAUCUGUUUUCAGCUCCUUGUUAAGAUGUGGGAGCAGAAACCUCUGCUGAAAAGUAAGUAAAAGGAGCCCUUUACCAAGAAUGCAUGAAUGGUUCAACCCUUAUCGUGCUGAAUGGAUUCUGCUAGUUUAGGUUCUGUUCCUUUUUGUUUUGCAGUUGAUUUCUAUGACUUACAACAGGUCUCGGCCCACAGUUGACAAGGCUCUGUCUUAGAAAUGGAGCUGGGGAGAAAAUAUAGAUCAUUAGCAGCUGGCUCUAGAGAACACAGGGCCCCUCUCACCUCCUCCAGGGUUGGCCGCAUGGAGAGAGCCAAGCUUGGAAUUAGGAGAAAAAUGUCUUUGGCCCAUUCUGUCCCCAGGCAAGCUUGGACCCCACCUGUACUUCAUUUGUUAAACGGGGGAGUAGUUCCUGCCCCUUUUACUUCUGUUGUUGUUGUAAGGGUCUGACGAAUUAAAAAAAGACUUCAGAGGAAAAUGCACUGCUUUAUAUAGAAUACAAGUGUAUCAUCAGAAUCAUUCAGCAAGGACCAGCAUAUCCCUGCCCUGUUCCCGGCACUACCUCUGUGCCUAGUGGCCCUGCGGGUCCCCAGGCUACAGCCACUCCUGGGCACAAUCAAAUGCACGCACAGUCCCAGAGUUAGGAACAGACUGUGCACCCCAGGUCUGUUUCUAAGACAAUUGAUCAGAGCCACAAACUCUGUGGCUUAGCCCGCUCGGUACCGGGCCUGGUUCCUGCCACUGUUCGUGAUUUGGUACCUAGAGUUAUCACACCACAAAAUACCCACAGAACGGAAUAGUGCCAUUCUAUCAGGUCACCCCAACACCUUGGCAAGCGGGGGUUGGAGGACGGCUCACCCUGCUUUACCUAUGAACAGGUGUGUGCAGAAGCACCUGUCAUCAGCCUUUUCCUCAUAGGAAGUAUCACCUGGACCACACUUGUUCCAUCCUUUCUCCACUUAUGGACUAUCAUCUACUCUACCUACAUCUCUGGCCAUCCUCUCUAAGUGACCAAGAGGACAUUUUGAUCUGGAAAGGAAGUGACAUGCCAGCCCACACAGCUGGGGGAGCUUACUAUCAAUCUCAAAGUCUUCUUUCAUCCUGAUGUCACAACAGGCUAAAAUAGUGAAAUAUUAAGACAAUAAAUCAAAGAAACUUCUACAUGUUACCAAAUAAAUUUUUUUUCAGUUUUCACAUAUAUUAAAAACUUCUCCCUAUGCCUAUUCCUUAAUGUAAAAACUCCUCUCCUAAGGCUAUAUUCCAAGGAAAUAAUCACUCACUGCUGAAUUUAUAGGGUAUAUGCAUGUGUCCAGCAAUGUGAAAUCAUUUCAAAAAUUGUAGGAUGUUCAUGUCCUCUUUCCUCAACUUUGAUGCCAAAAGGGGUCCACUUGGACCCAAAUAUGUGUUAGCAAUGUAGAAGGUACUGGAGAGUUGUAGAAGGCAUGGAGAAGGUUUACAGUGUAACCCCCAGGAAACAGCUUAAUCACCCCAGCAUCUAGUGUCCCUUCUUUGCACCCACUGGCUGGCUUCCCCUUCCCUGCGCUUCCCUCCCCUCCCCCCUUUCCCUCCCCCACCUCGCUCUCCCCCUCUUCCCCCUUUUCUCUCCUUCCAUCCUCCACUCCUUUCCUCCAAUCAAAAUUUCACUGACUCCAGUCUGGUCCUUUCUCACUGAAACCCAUUUUUCUCAACUCUCCACUCCCGCUCCUGCCAAAUUUUCAUUCUUUAUCCAGUUCAGAGCUCACCAAAACAAAGGCCGAUACAGUACACAGGACAGACCUUCCUUAGAACACAGUUUAAUGACCAUGUUUUGGCAUAUUGGUAUGAUUUAGGGGCUCGCAUCCCCCUUGGAAAGACUAACAAGGAAUUCUCCAACAAAGAUGGGUCUCCCCUUACUAAAAACCCCUAUAAUGGAUGAAAAAGGAAAAGAAUUUUCUACAUACGUUUACAUAUUCCGUGGAACGUCAUGCAACAAUUAAAAACGAUCUUAUAGAAGCCUACCUUGUGACAUGGAAGGGAGUGCAAGAUACACAGUUAGUGACCAAAAAAAUUAAUUUUUCAUGCUUGAUUCUAUAUUUGUAAUUAAAAAGAAGUCUAUAGAUGAAAAAUAAAAGUCUAGAAGGAUAGACAGUAAACAUUCAGACUGAUUAAGAAGUAGUGUAGGAAAAUUGUUAGGAACGUGGGUUUGGAGUCACAAAAACCUGGGCUACAUUCCCUCUCUGACUUAUAGACAUGUGGCCUUAGAGCAAUUUACUCAGCCUCAAAGCCCCUGUUCUUUUACCUGAGCGCUAGGGCCCUUAUAAGAUUUAGGUGCGAUCAUACAGAGCAUGUAUAACACGUUAGGUGCUCGAUAAAAGUUCAUUAUAGUCAUGGUUGUAUUAGGUUCCAAACGGUUUAUGGAAAUUUUUCCUGAAUGAACCAUCUGUUUGUGUCAUCAUGAAACAUAGUCAUGCUAAAAUUUAAUCAUCAACUAAAUAUUAAAGAAUGUUUACAAGGAAAAAAUAAGGAAAAUGAAAUCAAUAAUCAAACAGCCAAUCGGCUGUAGGGAGAAGUAGGUCCUUGGGGGGUUGAUCAAGGGCGGUCUCCCGGAAGUGCUUCACAUUUUAAAGAUUAGGGGGCCAGAGGAGGCAGAGGGCGAUGGUAGUCGGGUCUAAAUGAGCAUCUGGAAGGAGAGAUAGGAGAGGCCACUGCUGCCUGGACUCCCUGGGCUGUUAAGAGAAUUUAAUGAGAGCAAAAGCCUUGCUUGAACCCAGUCUCACUUGCCGACUUACCUAUUCUUUCCCCUUUUCCUUGCAUCAAGGCUGUUUUCCACAGACACCUUGUUGUGGGAGUGAACCUGCAGGCACCUCAGCUUCUCCUUCCUCCUUCAUCACGGUUUAGAUGGUUUCGUGCCAUCGAAGGAGGCUACAAUAAAGAUGGCCCAUCUACCUUGCAUUGCCUGUGAGGCUUCUGUGGGACAAGACCUUCAAGUUUCUUAAAGGACCUGCCAGAUGAGCAACAGUUCCUGGUGGUACAUAAGACACACCAGCACGCCGACAUCCACUCAGAGCUGCACACACGGUGCAUCCCUGGCCCAGGGAACACGGGUUCGAGCCCUGGUCCGGGAAGAUGCCACAUGCCACGGAGAAGCUAAGCCCGUACGCCAAAACUACUGAGCCUGCGCUCUAGAGCCUGCAAGCCACAACUACUGAGCCUGCGUGCCACAACUACUGAAGCCCGCGUGCCACGACUACUGAAGCCCACGCCUAGAGCCUGUGCUCUGCAACAACAGAAGCCACACCGCAACGAAGAGUAGCCCCCACUCGCCACAACUAGGGGAAGCCCACGCACAGCAACGAAGACCCAACACAGCCAAAAAUAAAAUAAAUCAAAUAAAUAAAUUUUUUUAAAAAGUAGAGUCUCUUUCUGGGGUUGGAGUGGGGCCCCAGAUUCUUCAUUUCUCAUAAGCUCUCAAAUGAUACUGCUGAUCCGCAGACCACACUUGAAGUAGCAAGGGGUCAGCACACACGGGGGAAGACAACGGUCCAGAAAACAAUCUUCACCCUUCCUGGUAGACGUCCAUCAGUGACACCGCCAUCAGGAACUUCUCAGACGCCAUCUCCUCCAGUCCCAGCUCCCAGUCUUCUCUCUCCUUUCAUGUUUCUUGGCCUCCCUCAAUCUCUAGGCCCCUUGCCUUGUCCUUCUCAGGAUGCUUGUGGAAGUAUCAGACUUUCCCUUGUUUAUUGGAUGGAUCAGUCUAAUCCUCUCCAUCUCCCAGCACAUCCCAUCCCCAUUCUACGAGCUUUGUUUCCACACCUAAAUGCACUGUCAAAAGGAUUGACUAAUCCCAAAGCAAUAUGACCUCCAUCUUCUCAACCAGAGG